CGCUCCUGCCGGUAGCCCGGGACCUGCAGAGAGACCUAGGAGUCGUGAUGCCAUUGGCAGGUUGGGGAGCUCAGUGACCUCCCCACGGGAUGGCUGUGCCCAUAUCCAUGACCCUCUCAUCCACCAAUUAAGCCACAGUCCACCUGGCUAAUGCUGUCAAGCCCUUAGCACUGAGUUAAGUAUCUGAUUAACCUCCAUCGCAGCCUCUAGUUUAGAGAUGAAUCAAUUGAAGCACAGAGAGAGCAUCACAUGGUUAGUAAAUGGCGGGGCUAGGAUGGCACUCACUUCUGCCGGACUCCAGAGCUCUUCCCUGAUGGUGACGCAGAGUUGAUGAGGGCCCCUGUGUCAUGGCAGAGCACCUCACAGUCCCUGUGGGGAAUUCCAGGUGCCCAGGGCUGUCGUGGUUUACACCCUGAGAAUCCCCAUCCCUGAGCCUGGGACUAACCUAAUGCCCACCCCUCUCCAGCCCUAGGGGUGCUGUUGAUACACCAGUGGCCUCGGAGUCAGGACAUCUGGGUUCCACGUGGAUUCUGAUACCACCUUGCUGGGUAACUCUGGGGACUCUCUCUAAGACCCUGCUCUAUGCAGGGGAAGAGGAAGAAGAUGGUCUUAUCUUUCUGCCUCCAUUGUCUGUUCAUUGGGAGAUCUCUGCAAGGGUGUACCAUUCACUCAGCAAACACGAGUCAAUGACUCAGGUUGGUACAUGACCAGUGCCUGGGAAGCACCUUUCUUGAAGGCCUGGACUUAACCCAGAGAGCCCCACUUGAGGGGGCUGGGUGACCUCCCCUCCAGGACAGCCUGAAGCAAGAGGACACCUCCUUCUUCACACUUCCAGAGGAAUUUGUAUACUCUCCAGGGCCCUAAGAGAAUCCUGGUAAUUUGAAGCAAACGAAGGAUGGAGCACUGCUUCUCACCUCAAGGUCCCGGAGGACAGGGUGGUCUUCAAUUCCUGGGAACAGCACCCGCAUGGU
rnacentral:lncRNA from 1 species